ACCAAUAUGUUAGUGUAUAUAUGAGCCAAAUGUGUCUUUAUUCGGAAUUGCCUAACCGCUGACAUACGUAGGUUGUCGCUGACACAAGUAAUAUGCGUUUAUGUAGCAGUAAACCAAAGCGUCGCUGCUAAACAUUGAAAGUGGCUAAUUGCCAUGUUUAACCUACGGAUGCCAGACAUGGGUCUUCACUGAGAAAGUUAAAGAAAAAAAAUCAUCUUGCCAACAUGCAAUGGAAAGAAGCCUUUUGAAAUUAAGAAGAAUAAAUUAAGUACGAAACACCGAAAGAAAACAAAACUGACAGACGCACUAUAGUUUAGUUUAAGACUAAAGUGGAGAUGGGCUGGAUAUUUGGCUAGAUACAAAGACAAGAGGUGGACUAUUCAAACAACCAAAUGGAAAGGUCCACUGGGCAAACGGAACUCAGGAAGACAAAGAAAGAGAUGGGUUGAUGACAUAAUAGCAAUAGCAGGAAAAAAUUGGGAUAAUACUGCUGAAGAUAGAGAAAAAUGGAAGAAGAUGGAGGAGGCUUUUACCCUCAAGGGAUCACACAUCAUAGAAUAUAAUAAAAGAAAAGUCAAUUUUAUAACAGAUGUGUGAGAACAAAGCUUAAAUAAAUAAAUUGCCAUAUUACAAUGAUACAGGUACCUGGUUCAGGUAGAUAGCUUGAAAUUUAGUAAGCACUAUAAUGAUAAUCGUGUAUAAUGCUUUUUUAAAUAAUAUCUAACCGAAUCCGGAUUUUUUGCUCAAACCGAAGGUUUGGUUUUGUCUCAGUAUCGGCCGAAAACUU